rnacentral:rRNA from 1 species
UACAGAGGUCUCAAGCGUUGUUCGGAUUCAUUGGGCGUAAAGGGUGCGUAGGCGGCGCGGUAAGUCGGGUGUGAAAUCUCGAGCUUAACUCCGAAACUGCAUUCGAUACUGCCGUGCUUGAGGACUGGAGAGGAGACUGGAAUUUACGGUGUAGCGGUGGAAUGCGCAGAUAUCAGGAAGAACACCGGUGGCGAAGGCGGCUCUCUGGGCCUUACCUGACGCUGAGGAGCGAAAGCGUGGGUAGCGAACAGG